UCUAAAGUAUUCAAAAAUUCAAAGCAAACAACUUAGUCUCAGCUUUAUAAGAGUUUUUGCUAUCAAAACGAGAAAUUUCAAAGCUCCAAGUGGUUUUAAGUGGCUGGUGUACUUAAGAAAAGAUCCUACCUUACAGAAUGGCAUCCUACAUGUUCUUUGUUUAAGUUUGGUUUCCAAUCUAUCGAAAUGUCUCGCAACGCACUGCCUUCACUGAAUCCAAUAAUGCCAGAAAAGCCUGUAAGAUUUUUGAAGAAAACCGUGGUUGGCUAUGGGUCGUCAGGCAUGGUCCGAAAUAACGACAGUCCCGAACAGUGACGGUAGUGGGUGUACUAAGACAUCGGAACAAUGGUGUAAGUACUGGACGGACAAAAAAGGAGCAAUUAAGAGAAAGUCUGGCUUAAUUGCAGCCGCGAGGCAGCGUCCUGGUGGUGGCAUAGAGGAUUUGCCUGAACUCAAUGAAUUAAAUUUGAAAAUGAGGCAAUUGAUAGGGCAGUGGACGGUGAAAAUAUUGCCCCUCCAGUAGAGCAGCUGGCUGAUUGAAGUGAGGUUCUUUAUAGCGAGUCCUGCCAUGAAAUGAAAUGGUCUAAUUUUGUUGCUGUUGAUCCGAGACAAUCUGAACCAGCAAAGUAUGCUCAAAGUCCAGAAGCUGUACAAAAUAGGGUAUUAUUAUUGAAACUAUUUUAAGGAAACAAACAGCAACUUAAACACUAUGUUUUUAGGUUUCGUUUACUGAGCCAAUAAGACCUGCACCACAACCAAAUGAUGUUUUGGAAACAGGCAAUCAAACUCCGACUCACCGUGUCAAGUUGUCUCCGCGUCAGUCUGCAACGCGCCGGCGACUGCUGAGAAGGUCACCUCCGUCACAACGCCGCUCUGAAAUGGUUAGCCUCACAAAGCGAUUCCUAGCCAUUGAAGAACGUAGAGCUAAUGCAGAGCUCCAGAUUACACAAGCAAUAAGUCGGCAAGUAGACGGCCAACAGGCUCGGAUCUAGAUACAGUUGGUAGUGCCAUAAUAGAUUUUAUAAAUUGAUAAAAUAUAUGUUUAAUUGUUAUUUUUAUUUCAGGGUUACAUACACUAUUUAUGUAAAUAAAAUCUUAAUAAAUGUUUAAUUAAAAUAUG
rnacentral:lncRNA from 1 species